AUGUGGACACUUGGUGAAGAUGGAGAGGGGGUUUGUGGUGCUGUGGUGCCAGUGAAAGAAGCCAGGUGGGAAACAGAAGUUCCAGUAAAACAGAAAGCCAAGUUAUUGACCAACACAAAGCAGCUGUCUUGGAUCAUGAAGAGGUGCCUGGAGGUUCUGGGGAGCAGAGGAAAUUCCCCUGAGAUGAAUCAGGUUGCCAUGCCUCUGCAAGGCCAAAAGCAGCCUGACCUGAGCAGCUCUGCAGGAGCCUGGAUGGGACUCCUGAAAUCGAUGGUGGCUACAGAAGGCCUUCUCAAACAAAAAACAAAAACAAACAAACCACAAAGUCUAGAACACCUCUACCCUAAUCCAACUGGAGUUCCUUCUUAUAUGAGUGCACUGGCUCCAGCUUGUAUUUCAGCCACGGAGACAGGCUGGACUCUGGUAUGCCUACAAACACCGGUCAUAGAAGAGAAUCAGAGCACCUGUUCUUGAGUAUGGUGGCCUGCAGCAAAGGCCUACAGGCUUCCGAGCUGGGCUCUAUGGGAAGGCUCAACCACCUUUGCAAUCCUCCCUGUCUCUUACAGUCAGUGCUGUUUAUCCUGGUACAGUAUCCUGCUUGCUGCCAAGGAACAGAAGUCAAUUGCCUUGAUUACCUUAUUCACCUCUUUGAAAAUGCACUUCACCUCCAGCCUGUGGAUAUUGAAUACAGUUAAGGAUGGAAUAUGGGCUUCUGCAUUUCCCAGUGCAUCUGCCCCCAGUCUGUGCCCUGAGGUUUUCUCAUAAAGGACUCCUUGACAACCCUUCCCAGCCCUGUCUUCAUACCCACCAUCUGCUGUUGUCUCUCCUAGUAUAUCCAAGGCUUUUUCCUUCAGGAUCCAAGGACCCUGCAACCAGCAGGACCCCAAAUAUCAGGUGUCCCACACCCAGACAUGUACACACACGCUUGUACUCUGAUCCUCUGAUCCAGGCUGCAGGAGCAUGUUGCUUGGCAGUCAGCUGCACAGCCUCUGGCAGGUCCCACACCAUGGAGAAGCCUACAGGUUCUAAAAUGGCACACAGAGAUCAUGAUACCUCUGUAAUAUCAAAUAUGGCUGGGCAGAAGCCAAAUAAUAGAAAAUUAUUUCUUUAUAAGUCAACAUUUCUUUGUUUUUUCACUUUUAUUUAGCAGCAGUAUCGCUGGCCUUCUACCAUCCCAUCUUAAACACAACUGCAUGCCUCGCUAUGACUAGGGAUCAUGUUUCUGGGUUACCAUCAUGUGUCACUCCUGGACAUUUCUGGCAGUGAGGUCACCCUCCUUCCCCCUAUAAGACUGAGACUAACUGUUGCCUUUCUCAGCAGGCUGUCUAAUGACCUGGCCUGCCUAGAGAACCAGGACAGCCUGGGAAUGGGAUGGGGUUGCACCCGGAGAUUCUUGGCUGCUGUGGGAGGAGACAAAGGACAAACCCUAAAGUGUUGUACAGAGAUGUAAGUUCAGAGCCCAGCACAAGCACAAGAUGUGUGAGGCAAAGCACCAGGUAUGACAUGGAGUGUGAUGGGCAAAACACCAGGAAAAUCAUAGAUGCAGCCAGUCCAAGGGUGUGCUGAGGCCAAGGGGCUGCAUAGCUUUUAUAGGAUUUUCCACUCAAUCAACAUGGAUGUGCUUGGUGUACCUGAAGGAACAGAUGCAUGGCCAUGGCUAUGGGCAUAUGUAGUUUUCUUUUCUUUCUUUCUUCUUUUUUUUUUUCUUUUUUUUUGUCUUUUUCCUCUUGCCAACUUUCAGCUAAAGUUGUCCUCUAGGUAGUGGAAAGGGAAGUGGGUAGUGGGUUGGGGUGACUGGGUGAUGGACACUGAGGGGGGCAUUUGGCCGGAUGAGCACUUGGUGUUAUGCUAUAUGUUGGCAAAUUGAACUCCAAUAAAAAUAAAUAAAUAAAUAAAUAAAUAAAUAAA
rnacentral:lncRNA from 12 species